rnacentral:rRNA from 1 species
UACGUAGGGUGCGAGCGUUGUCCGGAAUUACUGGGCGUAAAGAGCUCGUAGGUGGUUUGUCGCGUUGUUCGUGAAAACUCACAGCUUAACUGUGGGCGUGCGGGCGAUACGGGCAGACUGGAGUACUGCAGGGGAGACUGGAAUUCCUGGUGUAGCGGUGGAAUGCGCAGAUAUCAGGAGGAACACCGGUGGCGAAGGCGUGUCUCUGGGCAGUAACUGACGCUGAGGAGCGAAAGCGUGGGGAGCGAACAGG